GACGAACGCUGGCGGCGUGCUUAACACAUGCAAGUCGAACGGAAAGGCCCUGCUUUUGUGGGGUGCUCGAGUGGCGAACGGGCGAGUAACACGUGAGUAACCUGCCCUUGACUUUGGGAUAACUUCAGGAAACUGGGGCUAAUACCGGAUAGGAGCUCCUGCUGCAUGGUGGGGGUUGGAAAGUUUCGGCGGUUGGGGAUGGACUCGCGGGUUAUCAGCUUGUUGGUGGGGUAGUGGCUUACCAAGGCUUUGACGGGUAGCCGGCCUGAGAGGGUGACCGGGCACAGUGGGAGUGAGAUACGGCCCGGACUCGUACGGGAGGCAGCAGUGGGGAUGAUUGCCCAAUGGGCGGAAGCCGGAUGCAGCAACGCCGCGUGCGGGAUGGCGGCCUUCGGGUUGUAGACCGCUUUCGCCUGUGCCGAAGCGUGAGUGACGGUAAUGGGUAAAGAAGCACCGGCUAACUACGUG
rnacentral:rRNA from 1 species